ACGAGUGGCGGACGGGUGAGUAAUGUCUGGGAAACUGCCUGAUGGAGGGGGAUAACUACUGGAAACGGUAGCUAAUACCGCAUAACGUCGCAAGACCAAAGAGGGGGACCUUCGGGCCUCUUGCCAUCGGAUGUGCCCAGAUGGGAUUAGCUAGUAGGUGGGGUAACGGCUCACCUAGGCGACGAUCCCUAGCUGGUCUGAGAGGAUGACCAGCCACACUGGAACUGAGACACGGUCCAGACUCCUACGGGAGGCAGCAGUGGGGAAUAUUGCACAAUGGGCGCAAGCCUGAUGCAGCCAUGCCGCGUGUAUGAAGAAGGCCUUCGGGUUGUAAAGUACUUUCAGCGGGGAGGAAGGGAGUAAAGUUAAUACCUUUGCUCAUUGACGUUACCCGCANAAGAAGCACCGGCUAACUCCGUGCCAGCAGCCGCGGUAAUACGGAGGGUGCAAGCGUUAAUCGGAAUUACUGGGCGUAAAGCGCACGCAGGCGGUUUGUUAAGUCAGAUGUGAAAUCCCCGGGCUCAACCUGGGAACUGCAUCUGAUACUGGCAAGCUUGAGUCUCGUAGAGGGGGGUAGAAUUCCAGGUGUAGCGGUGAAAU
rnacentral:rRNA from 1 species